GUGUAAGAUCUUAUGUAUCUAAAAUUUUUAAGGAAAGAUUUUGUUGUAUAAGUGGUGGGAUACAUUCUAUAAUCAAAUUAUUACAAAUUUAGAAUAUCAAAGAAAAAAGCAGACUUUGACUAUAAAUGAUAUGUAGUCCCGCCAAAGUCAAACUUUACACAAAUGUUUUCCACCAACCACACAACACAAUUAAUAUAAAAGCCGAACUUCGCUUUCAUCACAGAAAGACACACUACUUUUUGAGUCUUACAUCACUCAGUCAUGGGGAAUAUCUUCAGCUACUUCACCACAGGAUGGGGAAGCAAUGUUCCUCCAGCGACGGAAACAACUACUGUUCAACCACGAUCACAUUCAGCGACGAAAACAAAAACAACUACUGUUCAACCACGCUCACAUUCACAGAGUGUAGUUAAUCAAUCUGUAUCCUCAGCCUCGAGGUCGUAUUAUUCGGCCCAUUCUUCGCCCAGAACAGAGUCGUAUCGUGGCGGAGGAAGGUGAGAUUAAGCCAAGUGUGAUGAAGCAGUUGCUAUUGGUGAAUGGGACCAGUUAUAAGUUGUAGGACAUUUAAUAAUAUCCAAACUUUAUGACAUGUAAUGUAAUAUUAUGCAACUUUGUGAUCAUACUCUUAACUUUUAUUUUAUACAAUCCUUCUUCGAUAUAUAUGUGUCCUCUCUUAAAGUGCAUUGCUUCUUAUUUUCUAGUAGACAUAAAACAGCGAAGAAGAUAAGACAAAAGCAAAUGUUACAUUCAUCAUCUCAGGCCGCUUAAACACCAAUAUUGAAAACUAACUUUGACAUGUUACUAGUUACGACCACCUAUUUAGUAGCAAAAAUGAUAAAAUACAUGGCUGUAAAUAAAGAUAUAUACAUGAAAGUACAUGGCUGUAAAUACAUGGCUCUAAGAGCACCUCCAUUGGAGGCUUUUAGAGAGGGUUCUAAAAAAAAAAUCAAUAAAAAUAAAUGAAAAAGAAAAUAAAACCAAAGAACCGGUGCCAAACUAAGGGGUUUUGGAAUCACUACACACCCCAUACGUGCUCUGUUCUUAUUGGCCGCCUCUCUUUCUUCUUUGAUGGUUUUUUUUUGUGUCUGAGAAAUCUAAUGUUGUUGCUCUCCUUCUCCAAAUCCGUUCAUUGAAAUCACCUUGUAGAGAUAGCUUCUCACAUGAAAGUAAUUGGGCGUGAUUAAGUUUCCAGAUGGAUUACCUCCUACUACGUCGACAAGGAAAAAGGAGAAUCUUUCAGAGAUGGAGCAGCAACUGAAGAAGACAGAAGCUGCUCAAAGGCGAAAAGUUCAGAUUGAGAAGGCUGCAAGAGAGUCCGAGGCAGAGGCCAUUAGAAAAAUUCUAGGACAGGAUUCGAGCAGGAAGAAGCGUGAAGACAAAAUUAAAAAACGGCUUGAUGAAUUGGCUCAGGUACACAGAGAAGCCCACCUUAUUUUUGAUACGUUAUUUCUGAGUAAAAACUGAGAUGCUGACAAUUUGUGUCAUAUGCAGUGGCGGAUCCAGAAAAUAAAUAUUGUGGGGGCAAAAAUAUACCAUACACUUCAUUAAAAAAAUUAAUGUUUU